AUACGUAGGUGGCAAGCGGUUGUCCGGAUUUAUUGGGCGUAAAGCGAGCGCAGGCGGUUUUUUAAGUCUGAUGUGAAAGCCUUCGGCUUAACCGGAGAAGUGCAUCGGAAACUGGGAGACUUUGAGUGCAGAAGAGGGCAGUGGAACUCCAUGUGUAGCGGUGGAAUGCGUAGAUAUAUGGAAGAACACCAGUGGCGAAGGCGGCUGUCUAGUCUGUAACUGACGCUGAGGCUCGAAAGCAUGGGUAGC
rnacentral:rRNA from 1 species